UAUGGCCACAUCACAUUGAAACACCAGUUCCCAUGCGAUUACUAAAAUUAAGCAAUGUUGAGCCUGGUCAGUAUCUGGAUGGAUGUCCGUUUAGGAAUACCAGGUGCUGUAAG